GCGAGAGAGGACGGAAGCCUGUGGGAGCCCGUGGCCUUUAAAGUGCGAUUCAGCCCUUUCCUCCGGGGCUAGUUUGUAAACACGGCAGCGCUCCGGGCUCGCUGGUGGCUGAAAGGAACAUGAAUUAGUGACCUGGAAAGACACUAGAUGGCAACUUGGGAAGUAUUGCCAUCCCAAGUAUAGCAAGAGCUUAGGGAUUCCUGUUAACAGAAUAAAACUCAUGGCCCACCAGCUACAAAGUGUCUUUGCCAUGAAACAGAGGACAUGAUAAACUGUUUAACUUAAUGAAAUUCAAGUUGCAUGUGAAUUCUGCCAGAUAAAACAAGGACCUGUGGAAUAUGAGUGAUGACAAACCCUUUCUAUGCACUGCCCCUGGGUGUGGCCAGCGUUUUACCAACGAGGAUCAUUUGGCUGUCCAUAAACAUAAACAUGAGAUGACACUGAAAUUUGGUCCAGCACGUAAUGACAGUGUCAUUGUGGCUGAUCAGACUCCAACGCCAACAAGGUUCCUAAAAAACUGUGAAGAAGUGGGUUUGUUUAAUGAGUUGGCAAGUCCAUUCGAGAAUGAAUUCAAGAAGGCUUCAGAAGAUGACAUUAAAAAAAUGCCUCUAGAUCUGUCCCCUCUUGCAACACCCAUCAUAAGAAGCAAAAUUGAGGAACCUUCUGUUGUAGAAACAACUCACCAGGAUAGCCCGUUACCUCACCCCGAGUCUACUACCAAUGAUGAAAAGGAAAUACCAUUGGCACAAACUGCACAGCCCACAUCAGCUAUCGUUCGUCCAGCAUCAUUACAGGUUCCCAAUGUGCUGCUCACAAGUUCUGACUCAAGUGUAAUUAUUCAACAAGCAGUACCUUCACCAACCUCAAGUACUGUAAUCACCCAGGCACCAUCCUCUAACAGGCCAAUUGUUCCUGUACCAGGCCCAUUUCCUCUUCUAUUACAUCUUCCUAAUGGACAAACCAUGCCCGUUGCUAUUCCUGCAUCAAUUACAAGUUCUAAUGUGCAUGUUCCAGCUGCAGUCCCACUUGUUCGGCCAGUCACCAUGGUGCCUAGUGUUCCAGGAAUCCCAGGCCCUUCCUCUCCUCAACCGGUCCAGUCAGAAGCAAAAAUGAGAUUAAAAGCUGCUUUGACCCAGCAACACCCUCCAGUUACCAAUGGUGAUACUGUAAAAGGCCACGGCAGUGGAUUGGUUAGGGCCCAGUCAGAAGAGUCUCGUCCACAGUCCUUGCAGCAGCCAGCCACGUCCACUACAGAGACUCCGGCGUCUCCAGCUCACACAACUCCACAGACCCAAAAUACAAGUGGCCGUCGAAGAAGAGCAGCUAAUGAAGAUCCUGAUGAGAAAAGGAGGAAGUUUCUAGAACGAAAUAGAGCAGCAGCUUCAAGAUGCCGUCAAAAAAGGAAAGUAUGGGUUCAGUCCUUAGAGAAGAAAGCAGAAGACUUGAGCUCACUAAAUGGCCAGCUGCAGAGCGAAGUCACCCUGCUGAGAAAUGAAGUGGCACAGCUGAAACAGCUUCUUCUGGCUCAUAAAGAUUGCCCUGUAACCGCCAUGCAGAAGAAGUCUGGCUAUCAUAGUG
rnacentral:lncRNA from 1 species